rnacentral:rRNA from 1 species
CACGCCCUAAACGAUGUCAACUGGUUGUUGGGGGAGUGAAAUCCCUUAGUAACGAAGCUAACGCGUGAAGUUGACCGCCUGGGGAGUACGGUCGCAAGAUUAAAACUCAAAGGAAUUGACGGGGACCCGCACAAGCGGUGGAUGAUGUGGAUUAAUUCGAUGCAACGCGAAAAACCUUACCUACCCUUGACAUGUCCGGAAUCCUGCUGAGAGGUGGGAGUGCCCGAAAGGGAAUCGGAACACAGGUGC